GAGGUAACGCUGGCGGCGUGCCUCAAACAUGCAAGUCGAGCGGGGCUAUGUAAUAUCGCAAGGUAGAACAUAGCCUAGCGGCGAACGGGUGAGUAACACGUGGGUAACCUGCCUGGAAGACAGGGAUAACGAUUCGAAAGGGUCGCUAAUACCUGAUAAUAUCCUUUCAUCGCAUGGUGAUAGGAAGAAAGGGGAAACCCGCUUUCAGAUGGGCCCGCGUCCCAUCAGCUAGUUGGUAAGGUAAAGGCUUACCAAGGCGACGACGGGUAGCCGGUCUGAGAGGAUGUACGGCCACACUGGGACUGAGAUACGGCCCAGACUCCUACGGGAGGCAGCAGUUGGGAAUCUUAGGCAAUGGACGAAAGUCUGACCUAGCGACGCCGCGUGAGGGAAGAAGGCCUUCGGGUUGUAAACCUCUGUCAUGGGGGAAGAAGGAAGUGACGGUACCCCAAGAGGAAGCCCCUGCUAACUACGUG
rnacentral:rRNA from 1 species